rnacentral:rRNA from 1 species
GACGAACGCUGGCGGCGUGCUUAACACAUGCAAGUCGAACGGAAAGGCCCUGCUUGGGCGGGGUGCUCGAGUGGCGAACGUGUGAGUUACACGUGAGUAACCUGCCCUGGACUUUGGGAUAACUUCAGGGAACUGGUGCUAAUACCGGAUAGGAGCUGCUGCUGUUUGGUGGGGGUUGGAAAGUUUCGGCGGGUGGGGAUGGACUCGUGGGUUAUCGGCUUGUUGGUGGGGGAGUGGCUUACCAAGGCUUUGAAGGGUAGCCGGCCUGAGAGGGUGACCGGGCACAUGGGCACUGAGCUACGGCCGAGAGUCGUACGGGAGACAGCAGAAGGGAAUAUUGACCAAUCGAGGGAAGCCGGGUGCAGCAACGCUGCGUGCGGGAUGACGGCCUUCGUGUUGUAAAGCGCAAUAAGCUGUGACGAUGCGUGAGUGACGGUAAUAUAUAAAGAAGCACCGGCUAACUACGUG